rnacentral:tRNA from 1 species
UUGAGUAUUCGCCAAAUUGGUAAGGCAGAGGACUCUGAAUCCUUAAUUUACUGGUUCGAAUCCAGUAUACUCAGUC